ensembl:lncRNA
AUGGGGGCCAGCCCCGCGGGGUCCUUUGGCCCGGGGUGGAGGGGCGGGCGGCGAAUCCGCCUCCUGACUCGCUGCCUGGACUUCACCAGCGACGACCACCCAGGGGUCCCGGGAGGUCCUGGGGAUCCCGGAAAACAGGCCGAUCCUCCCGUCCCCAUUGUCAAGGGAGAAGGGGCUCAGAACCAGGCUGGCGAUCCCCCUGGGACUGGGGACAGCCCCGUGGCCUCCAGAGGGGGGCGAUUCCUGACCAGGAUGCUCGGCCUCCCCCACCCGUGAGCUCCUAAGCCCCUUCGGAGGGUCUCAGGUUGCCCAGGAGUGGGCGGGGCUUGGGCCAGGUGACUCCUCCGCAGGUGGCCAGACGGAGAGCUGGCACCUGACCCGCGGGCGUAGAGGUGUUCUGAGUUCCUGGCUUAAUUGGAGGCUAGGGAGUUAAGCCGGGGAAUCAUGACUGUGUCAGACCUCCCUCCCCAAAAGGCUGAGGGCCUCGGUCCAGGCGGGGCUCCGGCCCCCAUUCCUCUGCCCAGCAAGAGUUUUUCUCACAUGGCUGGUGUUUCGCAGCUGAGGAGCAUGUGGAAUUGAAGCUCUCCGGAGGUAGGUGGCGAGUGGCAGCCCAGCCGAAGUCACAGAUGUUGCUUCCUGGAUGUUACCGAAAGUCUGACCCAAACCCAUGGGGUGGGAGGGUGAGAAAGGAUGGAGCUGAAGGAUGCUGGUACCGGCAGACGUUUCCGUCCAUCUCAUCAUCCCAUCGCACAGGAGACACAGGUUCCAUCCCUGGUCAGAGAAGAUCCCAUGUGCCACGGACCAACUAAGCCCAUCCGUCACAACUAUUGAGC